ACAUGUUUUUUUUUCUUAGUGAGGAAUCGGACGGAGGCUCAACUACACUAGACCUUCAUAACAGGUGUAUGAAGGGAAGGUUCUGGUGUAUAAAAGAUAUUUGUGGAAUGGUGUGUGCUUUCUUUACCUGGGCCCUCAUCCUUUACGCAGA